UACGGGGGGGGCAAGCGUUGUUCGGAAUUACUGGGCGUAAAGGGCUCGUAGGUGGCCAACUAAGUCAGACGUGAAAUCCCUCGGCUUAACCGGGGAACUGCGUCUGAUACUGGAUGGCUUGAGGUUGGGAGAGGGAUGCGGAAUUCCAGGUGUAGCGGUGAAAUGCGUAGAUAUCAGGAGGAACACCGGUGGCGAAGGCGGGUCUCUGGGCAGUAACUGACGCUGGAGGAGCGAAAGCGUGGGGAGCGAACAGG
rnacentral:rRNA from 1 species